rnacentral:rRNA from 1 species
AUUGAACGCUAGCGGGAUGCUUUACACAUGCAAGUCGAACGAGUGGCCGACGGGUGAGUAAUAUAGCGGAACGUGCCUAGUAGCGGGGGAUAACUACUCGGAAGAGUGGCUAAUAACGCAUACUAUUGUAGGGGACGUUAUCGGAUUAGCUAGUUGGUGGGGUAAAGGUGCACAAAGGCAACGAUCCGUAGUUUGUUGGAGAGGAAGACCGGCCACACUGGGACUGAGACACGGCCCAAACUCCUACGGGAGGCAGCAGUGGGGAAUUUUGCACAAUGGGGGAAACCCGGAUCCAGCCAUCCCGCGUGUAUGAGAAGGCCUUCGGGUUGUAAAGUACUUUUGGCAGAGAAGCGGUAUCUGCAGAAUAAGCACCGGCUAACUACGUGCCAGCAGCCGCGGUAAUUC